AAAGCUCAAAUUUGAAAUCUGGCACCUCUGGUGCUCGAGUUGUAAUUUGGAGAGGCAUCUUCUGGAGGGGCCCAGCCUAUGUGCCUUGGAACAGGACGUCAUAGAGGGUGAGAAUCCCGUACUUGGCUGGAUGUUCCCUCCUGUAUGUAGUGUCUUCUACGAGUCGAGUUGUUUGGGAAUGCAGCUCAAAAUGGGUGGUAAAUUCCAUCUAAAGCUAAAUAUAGGCGAGAGACCGAUA
rnacentral:rRNA from 1 species